rnacentral:rRNA from 1 species
GACCCCACGGUCAGCGCGGGGCUACCACCGUGAGUUUACAGCAUAUCAA